rnacentral:rRNA from 1 species
UACGUAGGGCGCGAGCGUUGUCCGGAAUCAUUGGGCGUAAAGAGCUCGUAGGCGGUUUGUUGCGUCGGCUGUGAAAUCCCGAGGCUCAACCUCGGGUCUGCAGUCGAUACGAGCAAACUAGAGUGUUGCAGGGGAGACUGGAAUUCCUGGUGUAGCGGUGAAAUGCGCAGAUAUCAGGAGGAACACCGGUGGCGAAGGCGGGUCUCUGGGCAACAACUGACGCUGAGGAGCGAAAGCGUGGGGAGCGAACAGG